UACGAAGGUGGCAAGCGUUGUUCGGAUUUACUGGGCGUAAAGGGAGCGUAGGUGGUGCGGUAAGCCCUCCGGGAAAGCUUCAGGCUUAACCUGAAAAGGUCGGGGGGGACUGCCGCGCUAGAGGACGGGAGAGGAUCGCGGAAUUCCCGGUGUAGAGGUGAAAUUCGUAGAUAUCGAGAGGAACACCGGUGGCGAAGGCGGAUCUCUGGGCCAUUACUGACGCUGAGGUGCGAAAGCGUGGGGAGCAAACAGG
rnacentral:rRNA from 1 species